rnacentral:snRNA from 1 species
AUACUUUGAACAACUCUGUUAGGGGGGAGGGUGGUUUUGGGUCAACAGGAGUAUAAUUCUGUUCUUAUCAGUUUAAUAGCUGAUAGGUCCGCUAUGUGGGGACCAAGUAUUAUAUCGAUUUUUGGAACAGAGAGAUGGAAAAUGGGGCUUGCUUCAUCCACUCCACACAUCAACCUGGUAUUGCAGUAUCUCCAGGAAUGGUGAGGAACCU